UAGAUUAGUCUUCCGGUAAGAGACAACAACCCUUUGACACCCACCUCAAUCUUUGAUUUUUCUGUUCAUAUUUCCAAAAAAUCAUGAUUUAAGACAAAAAUGGCUAAACAGCAUUAAUAGCCCUAAUUUCCAUCACGAUACAGUUGCAUAUGUAGUGAUCAUUUUAAGAAGGAUCACAUUAAUUUAACAUUAUGCCUUCCGCGCCUCAAAGACAAUGCCUGCCCAUCUAUCCCGGAUAUAAUAGUUCCAUCUACUUAUCAGUCAGUCAGUACACCAAACGUACAAAUAGUAACGGCUGGUUCAAUUAUGAACGUUUUGGCUCGUAUUGUCAAAAACAUAUUUAAAAACUAAAUUUUUCUUGUAAUAACGUCUCAAAAAC
rnacentral:lncRNA from 1 species